GGGUCGAGUACGAAAAACGGAACGUAAUUUAUCCUCUUCAUUAUCAUCUGAAGUUUCCCCCAAGCCACCCCCACACCCUCCCCUUCCCUACCAGGAGUCACAACCCAGUGAUGCUGAAAUCAACCUUCACUUCCGUUUUCUCAACCUUCCCCUCCAAAACCACUACUCUUCAGAAACUCCCAUCUCACUCAGUCAUUGCUAACGUAUUCACCCAACGCGCACCACCUAUUCACCAAAAUUCCUCGGUCACCACACGAACCGCUACUAUAAUCCCACCUCUCCGACAUCACCCUCCAACUUCAGCUUACGUCCACCUCCCUUUCUGUCGCAAACGCUGCCACUAUUGUGACUUCCCAAUCGUUGCUUUCGGCUCUGCCAACCCAACCGAUGCCGACCCACGAAUCUCUAACUACGUAGAAUUGCUUCAGCGAGAAAUAGUUUCAACAAUACCAGAAUUCAAUAAUCACCCGCCUCUUGAAACUGUCUUCUUUGGCGGUGGCACGCCUUCUUUAGUGUCUCCAAGGCUAGUUUCGUCGAUUUUGGAUACAUUGAGGGGGAAGUUUGGGCUCUUUGAGGAUGCUGAGAUAUCAAUGGAAAUGGAUCCUGGGACUUUCGAUGCUCAUAAAAUGGACGAGUUGAUGGGCUUGGGCGUGAAUAGAGUGUCAUUGGGAGUGUAGGCGUUUCAAGAGGAGUUACUGAAAGCUUGUGGGAAAGCACAUGGUAUUAAGGAGGUCUAUGAGGCACUUGAGAUUAUGAGAUCAUGUGGUGUCGAGAAUUGGAGCAUGGAUCUUAUCUCUUCUCUCCCUUACCAGACUCCGCAAAUGUGGGAGGAGAGCUUGAGGUUCACAGUUCAAGCACAGCCUAAUCAUGUUUCUGUAUAUGAUUUGCAGGUUGAACAAGACACAAAAUUUGGAAUCUUGAAGUCUGGUGAUAACAUUCAUAGUAAAAAAAAAAAUAUUGGUUUCCACAUUAUAAUGGUUUUUAGAUACAUUUUCGUGUCUACAGGUAUACACCAGGGGUCUUUCCUCUGCCAUCUGAAACACAAUCUACUGAUUUUUAUAGAAUGGCUUCGCAGAUGCUUUCUGAUGCUGGUUACAGCCAUUACGAAAUUAGCAGUUAUGGCAAAGAUGGGUUUGAAUGCAAGCACAAUUUUGCAUACUGGAAGAAUAAGCCUUUCUAUGGUUUUGGCCUUGGUUCUGCUAGUUAUGUUAAUGGAGUGAGGUUUUCAAGGCCAAGGAAGAUGAGAGAGUACAAGGGAUUAUGUGCAGAAUUUGGAGAAUGGGGCAGUGGAUUGCUAUGGGAAUUAAUCAUCUUGAUGCCAAGGACUUGGCCAUGGAUGUUCUAAUGCUGUCGCUUAGAACUGCAAGAGGUCUUGAUUUAAGGUCUUUUAAAUAUGCAUUUGGCGGUUCGCUUGUUUAUUCUCUCUGCAAGGUCUAUAAACCUUACAUGGAAAGUGGGCAUGUGGUUUGCUUAGAUGAGGAAAGAAGAGCCAUGACUGCAGAUGAAUUCAACAACUUGUUUACACUUGAAGAUGGGAUUUCAAGCAGACUGGCUUAUAUCCGGCUCAGUGAUCCAGAUGGUUUCUUGUUAUCAAAUGAGUUGAUAUCCCUUGCAUUUGGGGCCAUAGCUCCCUAGAACUGCAAUCCUCCUGGAACCCGGGAGUCAUUAAAAGCGUGGAUCUGGCUGAUGAUCUUAGCUGCUGAAAAGCAUCUCUGAACAUGAUUUGCUCCAUUAUUUAUUCCAACAAGGUGACCUUAUCUUAGCAAGUAAGAAAAGCAGUUUGGUUUAUGAACAGAGUCAGAACGAAGUGCGUUGCAUUGAACUUCAGGGCACACUACGGCAUAAGCAAUGGGAGUUGGACAAGAUGCAACACCAUGGUCGAUAGAAGCAAACUUUGAUGAAGUUUGCUGGAGAAUGAAGAAUUAGACCACCAAGUUUAUUGACAAACUGGUUAUUUGUGCUAAAGACGCAAUCGAGUAAAAAUGGAAAAUUUUGGUUUGAGGGAAUCGGCUGGAUGCCUGGGCCUGAGAGUUGAUGCAUCUGUAGAAUUGAAUUGCCCAGGAGAAUUGAAUCAAUAGCAAUAAGUCCUGUU
rnacentral:misc_RNA from 1 species